UACGGGGGGGGCAAGCGUUGUUCGGAAUUACUGGGCGUAAAGGGCUCGUAGGCGGCCAACUAAGUCGGAUGUGAAAUCCCCAGGCUUAACCUGGGAACUGCAUCCAAUACUGGAUGGCUUGAAUCCGGGAGAGGGAUGCAGAAUUCCAGGUGUAGCGGUGAAAUGCGUAGAUAUCUGGAGGAAUACCGGUGGCGAAGGCGGCAUCCUGGACCGGCAUUGACGCUGAGGGAGCGAAAGCCAGGGGAGCAAACGGG
rnacentral:rRNA from 1 species